AUUGAACGCUGGCGGCAUGCUUUACACAUGCAAGUCGAACGGUAACAGGCCUUCGGGUGCUGACGAGUGGCGAACGGGUGCGUAAUGCAUCGGAACGUACCCAGAGGUUGGGGAUAACGCAGCGAAAGCUGUGCUAAUACCGCAUGUGAUCUGAGGAUGAAAGCGGGGGACCGAGCAGAAAUGUUUGGCCUCGCGCCUUUGGAGCGGCCGAUGUCGGAUUAGCUAGGUGGUGGGGUAAAGGCCUACCAAGGCGACGAUCCGUAGCUGGUCUGAGAGGACGACCAGCCACCCUGGGACUGGGACACGGCCCAGACUCCUACGGGAGGCAGCAGUGGGGAAUUUUGGACAAUGGGCGCAAGCCUGAUCCAGCAAUGCCGCGUGCGGGAAGAAGGCCUUCGGGUUGUAAACCGCUUUUGGCAGGAACGAAACGGUGUCCGCUAAUACCGGGCGCUAAUGACGGUACCUGCAGAAUAAGCACCGGCUAACUACGUG
rnacentral:rRNA from 1 species